GAGUCUGCAAUGGAAGAAGCCUCAUGCAUUGGGGUUUGUUGUUGUCAAGAGUGCUUUCAUAGGUAUGUGUUGGUUAGAUUGAAUGUAUAAUGUGAUUGAUUGUACUAAAGGAAAGUAUGUGCAAGAGCAACAGAAGAUCAAAUGCAGGAGAAUAUUGACAAUUCAAAAACAAUAUGAAUUAACAGGAAUUUGAUGCCAAUUCAAUAUCACUUUGAAGAACGAUCAUCUAAGUAGAUGGAUAAUCUAAUGGGUGGAUUUUUUGUGUGGUUUGUAUCAUGAACUCUGCUCCUAAUUGUAGGAUCAUACACUGAUUUCUUUGACUUGUACUAUUUUUGUUUUUUGUUGUGAAUUUUUUUUAAUUGCUUGAUGCAUUACAAG
rnacentral:misc_RNA from 1 species